AUUAAUUUAGGAGGGUAAAUCCGCUGAAUUUUAAAAAUUGCUAAAAUAUAACUAAGCGGAAGAAAAGAAAAUAACUAUGAUUCCUUUAGUAACAGCGCGUGAAAAAGGAUAAGCUCAAUUUAGAGAAUCCUACGAUUUUUUUUUAAAAGAAUUUUAGGAAUUGUUUCUUUUUUUAUAUAAUAUAUACUCUAUAUGAUAACUGUUCUUUGGAUUAUAUAUUACGUAAUGUGUAUAUACAUCUAUUUUACGGGUACACAAGAGCAAAGAUAUUAAAAAACAAAUAGGAAAUAUAAUGGAACAUUAUCCCAGAGAGGGUGAAAGGCCCGUACUUGUUUUAAUAUCUACCUUGUGCUUAAAUUAGAGUUAAAAAUAAAGAAUGAGUUGUGUUUGAUGAAUAUGGGACACUAAUACGUGUGAUAAAAAUUCACAUAAAGCUAAAUAUGUGUAGGAGACCGAUAGCAAACAAGUACCGUAAGGGAAAGAUGAAAUAGUACUCAGGAAUGAGCCAUUAAAUAGUACCUGAAAUCGUUAAGGUGGAAAGGAUUAAGAGCGUGAAGACGUAAGGGUUUUAUUAAAAAGUAUGUACAUGUGUAUAUAUAUAUAUAUGUAUGUAUAAGAGAGAAUUUCAUUUUCUCUUUGGUAAUUUCCUUAUUAUAAUAAACAAAAGUGAAUGAGAGAAAUUUUGAAGAUUGAAGUAAUUUUUUAAAAAAAUUAAAGAAUUAAUUAUAUAUAUAGUAAUAAAUUUUUAUUUAUUUUUAUUUAUUUUUAUGUAAUUGAUUAUUUUUUUUUUUUAAAGAAUGUGAAU